UUGAGUUUGAUCCUGGCUCAGGAUGAACGCUGGCGGCGUGCCUAACACAUGCAAGUCGAACGAAGCGCUUUUCCCGAAUUUUCGAAGGAGGGGAGAGUGACUGAGUGGCGGACGGGUGAGUAACGCGUGGGGAACCUGCCCUGUACCGGGGGAUAACAGCCGGAAACGGCUGCUAAUACCGCAUAAGCGCACAGUGCCGCAUGGCACGGUGUGAAAAACCACGGUGGUACAGGAUGGCCCCGCGUCUGAUUAGUUGGUUGGCAGGGUAACGGCCUACCAAGACGGCGAUCAGUAGCCGGCCUGAGAGGGUGAACGGCCACACUGGGACUGAGACACGGCCCAGACUCCUGCGGGAGGCAGCAGUGGGGAAUAUUGCACAAUGGGGGAAACCCUGAUGCAGCGACGCCGCGUGAGCGAGGAAGUAUUUCGGUAUGUAAAGCUCUGUCAGCAGGGAAGAAGAAUGACGGUACCUGAAGAAGAAGCACCGGCUAAAUACGUGCCAGCAGCCGCGGUAAUACGUAUGGUGCAAGCGUUAUCCGGAUUUACUGGGUGUAAAGGGAGCGCAGGCGGUUCUGCAAGUCUGAUGUGAAAGCCCGGGGCUCAACCGCGGGACUGCAUUGGAAACUGCGGGACUGGAGUGUCGGAGGGGUAAGCGGAAUUCCUGGUGUAGCGGUGAAAUGCGUAGAUAUCAGGAGGAACACCGGUGGCGAAGGCGGCUUACUGGACGAUGACUGAC
rnacentral:rRNA from 1 species